rnacentral:snRNA from 1 species
GUGCUCGCUUUGUCAGCGCUUAUACUAAAAUUGGAAUGAUACAGAGAAGACUAGCACGGCCCCUGUGCAAGGAUGACAUGCAAAUUCAUGAAGCGUUCCAUAGUUUU